GAGCCCCUCUGCCUGGCUGCCCAGUCUGGAAAGUGAGGAGCGUCUCCGCCCGGCUGCCAUCCCACGUAGGAAGUGAGGAACACCUCUUCCCGUCCGCCAUCACAUCUAGGAAGUGAGGAGCAUCUCUGCCCGGCCGCCCAUCGUCUGAGACGUGGGGAGUGCCUCUGCCCCGCCGCCCCGUCUGGGAUGUGAGGAGCACCUCUGCCCGACCCCGACCCCGUCUGGGAGCGCAUUUGAAAUGGUGCUGGGAAAGCGGUGAACUGGAAGUAAUGGAUCCCGCUGCCUCUCUGAGGAAGAGAAAAAUCCCAUGACCGGAUUUGAGGAAACAAACGGAAGUCUAAGUGCACCCACUUCCGGAGUGGGCACCGCUCCUCAGUAAAUUCUACAGCUGGAAGGAAGUUUCUAGAGGCACCUCAGCACUGACUUCAGUACCCAUCACUCCACAACUCAAGGAUGGAAACCUUGAACGUCUGAAUUUGCUGAACUGCUUGAGAUGAGACAUCCGUUGUGGACUCUUCUUUUUUGCCCUUUGCUGGAUGGUAGGUGGAGGACAGUUAUCAGAGCUGCAGAGAAGGAAAUAACCUGUCUGGCAUCAGACACUGAUCCUGUUACCAUCUAAUCCACACAGGGACUUGGAUAACAAAUACUUGGAUAAUGAAAACAUCCAAUAAUUAAUGUGCCACCUACUCACCAGGAUCAUGGCCCAACAGGGAAAUGUGGAACAAAGCUCUCCUCAAGGGGAAAGAAAAUGGGAUACACGGCUUGGAAAACCUUCACUAACACUCCCAUAUGAAGAGUGAUAGAAUGCUAAUUUCCCACAGAUUCAUUAUCACCAUGAAAUGAAAUUUUGGAACACAUCACAGAGGCUAUACUUGAAUGCCCACACCCAUGUUCUUUCUUUCGGUAGAAGACCCAGGGUAGUAACCAUUCAGUUCUUGAAAGAUGGUCUGGAUGCAGAACAUCACCAGAACAUUGAUCUGAAACAAACAACAAAUGAAUGUAAAAGCAAGACAAAGGACUUCCAAUAACAACAAAAUAUUAGUAAUAAAAAGAUUCCUGGAAGAGUCCAGGAAUCUGCCUCAUCAGAAACACACUGGGAUUUUUUCUGCUUGUUUGUUUGUUUGUUUUUUGUAGAGAUGGAGGUUUCACUCUGUUGCCUAGGCUGGUCUUGAACUCCUGGCCUCAAGCAAUCCUCCCACUUCUGCCUCCCAAUACACUGGGAUUACAGGCUUGAGCCACCGUGCCCAGCUCACACUGGAAAUUCUAAUGUGUUUUCAAAAGAAAACAUACUGUAUACUAUACACAAACACACACACACACACACACACUGAGAGAGAGAGAAAGAAAGAAAAGAGUGUGUACAGUAUCAUUGCAUUUAUUCAAAGUUCAAGAAUAGGCAAAACGAAAUUAUAGUGACAGAGGUCAGAAGAGUGGUUCCCUCCGGGGAUGAGUAUUUACUGCAAGCAGCCUGAAGAUGCUGGAAAUGCUUUACAUCUUAGUCAAGGUGGUGGGUACAUGGGAGUGUACAUAUGUGUAUAUAUACAGGUUCAUCAAGCUGUGCCUUGUGAUUAGUGCACUUUAAAAAUGUAACACUUGGGAGGCUGAGGCAGGUGGAUUGCCUGAGCUCAGGAGUUUGAGACCAGCCUGGGCAACAUGGUGAAACCCCAUCUCUACUAAAAUACAGAAAAUUAGUUGGGCGUGGCAAUGUGCGCCUGUAAUCCCAGCUACUUGGGAGGCUAAGACAGGAGAAUCGCUUGAACCCGGGAGGUUGCAGUGAACUGAAAUCGCGCCAUUGCACUCCA
rnacentral:lncRNA from 10 species